rnacentral:tRNA from 1 species
GGCGAUAACUCAAUUGGUAGAGUGCUUGCUUUGCAUGCACAAGGCCCUGGGUUCAAUCCCCAGCACCA